AGUGAACGCUGGCGGUAGGUCUAACACAUGCAAGUCGAACGGCAGCACAGUAAGAGCUUGCUCUUACGGGUGGCGAGUGGCGGACGGGUGAGGAAUACAUCGGAAUCUACUUUUUCGUGGGGGAUAACGUAGGGAAACUUACGCUAAUACCGCAUACGACCUACGGGUGAAAGCAGGGGAUCUUCGGACCUUGCGCGAUUGAAUGAGCCGAUGUCGGAUUAGCUAGUUGGCGGGGUAAAGGCCCACCAAGGCGACGAUCCGUAGCUGGUCUGAGAGGAUGAUCAGCCACACUGGAACUGAGACACGGUCCAGACUCCUACGGGAGGCAGCAGUGGGGAAUAUUGGACAAUGGGCGCAAGCCUGAUCCAGCCAUACCGCGUGGGUGAAGAAGGCCUUCGGGUUGUAAAGCCCUUUUGUUGGGAAAGAAAAGCAGCAGGUUAAUACCCCGCUGUUCUGACGGUACCCAAAGAAUAAGCACCGGCUAACUUCGUGC
rnacentral:rRNA from 1 species